UAAGUUAUCAACCACAAACCAAUUUUUCCUUUAAAAGUAACUGAUUCUUGCAUGCUUUAAUGGUUGUGCCUUUUCAAAAAAAGAUUUUGGUUCAGAGAAAUUAUCAAAAAACGAAUAUUUUUGCGCAGAAAUGUAUACUAGAAAUUUGCCAAGGGUUGAGCACUCUUAAAUUUUUUAUAUAUGUUUUUCUU